rnacentral:guide_RNA from 1 species
ACAUAAAAACAAAUCAUAGACAGAUAGAGAAUAGUGAU